rnacentral:rRNA from 1 species
GGUUAAGCGACUAAGCGUACACGGUGGAUGCCCUGGCAGUCAGAGGCGAUGAAGGACGUGCUAAUCUGCGAAAAGCGCCGGCGAGGUGAUAUGAACCUUUGACCCGGCGAUGUCCGAAUGGGGAAACCCAGUGUGAUUCGUCACACUAUCGUUAACUGAAUACAUAGGUUAACGAGGCGAACCGGGGGAACUGAAACAUCUAAGUACCCCGAGGAAAAGAAAUCAACCGAGAUUCCCCCAGUAGCGGCGAGCGAACGGGGAGCAGCCCAGAGUCUGAAUCAGCUUGUGUGUUAGUGGAAGCGUCUGGAAAGUCGCACGGUACAGGGUGACAGUCCCGUACACGAAAGCACACAGGUUGUGAACUCGAAGAGUAGGGCGGGACACGUGGUAUCCUGUCUGAAUAUGGGGGGACCAUCCUCCAAGGCUAAAUACUCCUGACUGACCGAUAGUGAACCAGUACCGUGAGGGAAAGGCGAAAAGAACCCCGGCGAGGGGAGUGAAAAAGAACCUGAAACCGUGUACGUACAAGCAGUGGGAGCACCUUCGUGGUGUGACUGCGUACCUUUUGUAUAAUGGGUCAGCGACUUAUAUUCUGUAGCAAGGUUAACCGUAUAGGGGAGCCGAAGGGAAACCGAGUCUUAACUGGGCGUUAAGUUGCAGGGUAUAGACCCGAAACCCGGUGAUCUAGCCAUGGGCAGGUUGAAGGUUGGGUAACACUAACUGGAGGACCGAACCGACUAAUGUUGAAAAAUUAGCGGAUGACUUGUGGCUGGGGGUGAAAGGCCAAUCAAACCGGGAGAUAGCUGGUUCUCCCCGAAAGCUAUUUAGGUAGCGCCUCGUGAACUCAUCUUCGGGGGUAGAGCACUGUUUCGGCUAGGGGGCCAUCCCGGCUUACCAACCCGAUGCAAACUACGAAUACCGAAGAAUGUUAUCACGGGAGACACACGGCGGGUGCUAACGUCCGUCGUGAAGAGGGAAACAACCCAGACCGCCAGCUAAGGUCCCAAAGUCAUGGUUAAGUGGGAAACGAUGUGGGAAGGCACAGACAGCCAGGAUGUUGGCUUAGAAGCAGCCAUCAUUUAAAGAAAGCGUAAUAGCUCACUGGUCGAGUCGGCCUGCGCGGAAGAUGUAACGGGGCUAAACCAUGCACCGAAGCUGCGGCAGCGACACUAUGUGUUGUUGGGUAGGGGAGCGUUCUGUAAGCCGUUGAAGGUGUGCUGUGAGGCAUGCUGGAGGUAUCAGAAGUGCGAAUGCUGACAUAAGUAACGAUAAAGCGGGUGAAAAGCCCGCUCGCCGGAAGACCAAGGGUUCCUGUCCAACGUUAAUCGGGGCAGGGUGAGUCGACCCCUAAGGCGAGGCCGAAAGGCGUAGUCGAUGGGAAACAGGUUAAUAUUCCUGUACUUGGUGUUACUGCGAAGGGGGGACGGAGAAGGCUAUGUUAGCCGGGCGACGGUUGUCCCGGUUUAAGCAUGUAGGCGGAACGAUUAGGUAAAUCCGGUCGUUUAUUAACGCUGAGGUGUGAUGACGAGGCACUACGGUGCUGAAGUAACAAAUGCCCUGCUUCCAGGAAAAGCCUCUAAGCAUCAGGUAACAUCAAAUCGUACCCCAAACCGACACAGGUGGUCAGGUAGAGAAUACCAAGGCGCUUGAGAGAACUCGGGUGAAGGAACUAGGCAAAAUGGUGCCGUAACUUCGGGAGAAGGCACGCUGAUAUGUAGGUGAAGCCCCUGCGGGUGGAGCUGAAAUCAGUCGAAGAUACCAGCUGGCUGCAACUGUUUAUUAAAAACACAGCACUGUGCAAACACGAAAGUGGACGUAUACGGUGUGACGCCUGCCCGGUGCCGGAAGGUUAAUUGAUGGGGUUAGCGGCAACGCGAAGCUCUUGAUCGAAGCCCCGGUAAACGGCGGCCGUAACUAUAACGGUCCUAAGGUAGCGAAAUUCCUUGUCGGGUAAGUUCCGACCUGCACGAAUGGCGUAAUGAUGGCCAGGCUGUCUCCACCCGAGACUCAGUGAAAUUGAACUCGCUGUGAAGAUGCAGUGUACCCGCGGCAAGACGGAAAGACCCCGUGAACCUUUACUAUAGCUUGACACUGAACACUGGUCCUUGAUGUGUAGGAUAGGUGGGAGGCUUUGAAGCGUGGACGCCAGUCUGCGUGGAGCCGUCCUUGAAAUACCACCCUUUAAUGGCUGGUGUUCUAACGUAGACCCGUAAUCCGGGUUGCGGACAGUGUCUGGUGGGUAGUUUGACUGGGGCGGUCUCCUCCCAAAGAGUAACGGAGGAGCACGAAGGUUAGCUAAUCCUGGUCGGACAUCAGGAGGUUAGUGCAAUGGCAUAAGCUAGCUUGACUGCGAGAGUGACGGCUCGAGCAGGUGCGAAAGCAGGUCAUAGUGAUCCGGUGGUUCUGAAUGGAAGGGCCAUCGCUCAACGGAUAAAAGGUACUCCGGGGAUAACAGGCUGAUACCGCCCAAGAGUUCAUAUCGACGGCGGUGUUUGGCACCUCGAUGUCGGCUCAUCACAUCCUGGGGCUGAAGUAGGUCCCAAGGGUAUGGCUGUUCGCCAUUUAAAGUGGUACGCGAGCUGGGUUUAGAACGUCGUGAGACAGUUCGGUCCCUAUCUGCCGUGGGCGCUGGAGAAUUGAGGGGGGCUGCUCCUAGUACGAGAGGACCGGAGUGGACGCAUCACUGGUGUUCGGGUUGUCAUGCCAAUGGCACUGCCCGGUAGCUAAAUGCGGAAAAGAUAAGUGCUGAAAGCAUCUAAGCACGAAACUUGCCCCGAGAUGAGUUCUCCCUGAGACUUUAAGUCUCCUGAAGGAACGUUGAAGACGACGACGUUGAUAGGUCGGGUGUGUAAGCGCAGCGAUGCGUUGAGCUAACCGAUACUAAUGAACCGUGAGGCUUAACCUU